rnacentral:rRNA from 1 species
UGGCGACCGGCGCACGGGUGAGUAACGCGUAUGCAACUUACCUAUCAGAGGGGGAUAACCCGGCGAAAGUCGGACUAAUACCGCAUGAAGCAGGGGCCCCGCAUGGGGAUAUUUGCUAAAGAUUCAUCGCUGAUAGAUAGGCAUGCGUUCCAUUAGGCAGUUGGCGGGGUAACGGCCCACCAAACCGACGAUGGAUAGGGGUUCUGAGAGGAAGGUCCCCCACAUUGGUACUGAGACACGGACCAAACUCCUACGGGAGGCAGCAGUGAGGAAUAUUGGUCAAUGGCCGAGAGGCUGAACCAGCCAAGUCGCGUGAGGGAUGAAGGUUCUAUGGAUCGUAAACCUCUUUUAUAAGGGAAUAAAGUGCGGGACGUGUCCCGUUUUGUAUGUACCUUAUGAAUAAGGAUCGGCUAACUCCGUGCCAGCAGCCGCGGUAAUACGGAGGAUCCGAGCGUUAUCCGGAUUUAUUGGGUUUAAAGGGUGCGUAGGCGGCCUUUUAAGUCAGCGGUGAAAGUCUGUGGCUCAACCAUAGAAUUGCCGUUGAAACUGGGGGGCUUGAGUAUGUUUGAGGCAGGCGGAAUGCGUGGUGUAGCGGUGAAAUGCAUAGAUAUCACGCAGAACCCCGAUUGCGAAGGCAGCCUGCCAAGCCAUGACUGACGCUGAUGCACGAAAGCGUGGGGAUCAAACAGGAUUAGAUACCCUGGUAGUCCACGCAGUAAACGAUGAUCACUAGCUGUUUGCGAUACACUGUAAGCGGCACAGCGAAAGCGUUAAGUGAUCCACCUGGGGAGUACGCCGGCAACGGUGAAACUCAAAGGAAUUGACGGGGGCCCGCACAAGCGGAGGAACAUGUGGUUUAAUUCGAUGAUACGCGAGGAACCUUACCCGGGUUUGAACGCAUUCGGACCGAGGUGGAAACACCUUUUCUAGCAAUAGCCGUUUGCGAGGUGCUGCAUGGUUGUCGUCAGCUCGUGCCGUGAGGUGUCGGCUUAAGUGCCAUAACGAGCGCAACCCUUGCCACUAGUUACUAACAGGUAAAGCUGAGGACUCUGGUGGGACUGCCAGCGUAAGCUGCGAGGAAGGCGGGGAUGACGUCAAAUCAGCACGGCCCUUACAUCCGGGGCGACACACGUGUUACAAUGGCGUGGACAAAGGGAGGCCACCUGGUGACAGGGAGCGAAUCCCCAAACCACGUCUCAGUUCGGAUCGGAGUCUGCAACCCGACUCCGUGAAGCUGGAUUCGCUAGUAAUCGCGCAUCAGCC